rnacentral:rRNA from 1 species
UACGAAGGGGGCUAGCGUUGCUCGGAAUCACUGGGCGUAAAGCGCACGUAGGCGGCUUUCUAAGUCAGGGGUGAAAUCCUGGAGCUCAACUCCAGAACUGCCUUUGAUACUGGAGAGCUUGAGUCCGGAAGAGGUGAGUGGAACUCCGAGUGUAGAGGUGAAAUUCGUAGAUAUUCGGAAGAACACCAGUGGCGAAGGCGGCUCACUGGAUCGGUACUGACGCUGAGGUGCGAAAGCGUGGGGAGCAAACAGG